GCCCCGGUGGUGUAGCGGUUAAGCACUCCAGCCUCUCAAGCUGGCAACCCGGGUCCGAAUCCCGGCCGGGGCA
rnacentral:tRNA from 1 species